GGAGCGGUAGCUCAGCCGGUAGAGCAGCUGACUUUUAAUCAGUUGGUCAUGGGUUCGAAUCCCGUCCGCUCCACCA
rnacentral:tRNA from 1 species